rnacentral:lncRNA from 1 species
UAGAUUUCCCUCCUCUUGACCUUACAGAAAUGUAGUGAAGAUUCUCUUAAAAAGAGUCUUUAUGAAGCAAGUCCUAUCUGGAGUCAUCACCAAGUUUCAUGUGGGAAUGGGAAAAUAACUCUCCAAAGGCCUCUGUCAAAUAAAAAUGUUUAACUCUGAACCCUGCUUCCCAAAGGACAUGCAGAAGGCUAUGGAUGAGACAAUGGAAGUCUUAAUACAACUACAGACAUACAAAAAGCUGAAGAAACACCACCAACACACAAUGAGGAAAGACUUACUUGAGAGAUUUAGUGGUCGGACCUAUUAUGAGAAAUGUUUAUCGUGUUCCCAGAAAAACUGCAGUAAUAUCAGUCUAACUCCAUCUUACAGCAGGAAAGUUGCCACUUUGAGUGUGGGCACCGUUCUAAUCAUCGGAAUAUGGUGCUGCCUUCUGAUCUAUAUCUAUUUGAACCCUAAUGCCAUCAAGGACACUCUCCCUACAAUAUGCAGUCACAGAACUCAUCAGCACCUUCGUUUCAUCCUCUCCCCACUUCUUGAGCACAUAAAGGGUUUACUUCCCUCUUAGUCUCCACUAUUUUUUUUCUCCAGGAGAUUAAAGUCUUCAUUUACCACAAGAUAAGUGUGAUCUUUGUCUGGUUUUGGGGGAGGAGGGAUUGUAUUUCCCUCCAUCAUGUACAUGCACCAUGUCUUAUUACAGGAACUGGGGCAAUUGUUUCUUCUCCCUUUCCUAGCUUUCUACUUCUCUUCAAUUAGUCUAUACAUUUGUUGAUGGAAGAGUUCCAGUCAGUCGACCAGCAACCCAGGAAGUCAACAGUCAACAUGUCAGUCAGUCAGAUAGGGAAUGACAGCCAAUCAGUCAGCCAGCCAG